AGUGAACGCUGGCGGCAUGCCUAACACAUGCAAGUCGAACGGCAACACAGUAAGCUCUUGCUCUUACGGGUGGCGAGUGACGGAUGGGUGAGUAAUACAUCGGAAUCUACUAUUUCUGGGGGGAUAACGUAAGAACGCUUACGCUCAUAGCGCAUACGACGUACGGGUGAAAGCAGUGGAGCAUCGGACCUUUCGCGAUUGACUGAGCCGGUUUCGGAUUAGAUUGUUGGUGAGGUAAAGGCGCACCAAGGCGACGAUCCGUAGCUGGUCUGAGAGGAUGAUCAGCCACACUGGAACUGAGACACGGUCCAGACUCCUACGGGAGGCAGCAGUGGGGAAUAUUGGACAAUGGGCGCAAGCCUGAUCGAGCCAUGCCGCGUGAGUGAAGAAGGCCUUCGGGUUGUAAAACUCUUUUGUUAGGGAAGAACAGCUGCAGGUUAAUACCCGGCUGUCCUGACGGUACCCAAAGAAUAAGCAACGGCUAACUACGUG
rnacentral:rRNA from 1 species